AGAGUCGGACCUGCCCAGUGACAUACGUGUUAAACGGCCGCGGUACUCUGACCGUGCAAAGGUAGCAUAAUCAUUUGCCUUUUAAUUGGAGGCUUGUAUGAAUGGUUUAACGAGAACUAAGCUGUCUCCUUUUAANUAUUUAGAAAUUAACUUAUAGGUGAAGAGGCCUACAUGUGUUUGAGGGACAAGAAGACCCUUUUGAGUUUUAGUAAAAUUAGAAAUAAUUUUGUUUUAAUUGUUGUAAUUAAAAUAU
rnacentral:rRNA from 1 species